GGAUUUUCGUUACGAAAAAAAGGAAAAGGAGAAAAGAAAAAUAAAAGUAGAAGAGCGACUCGACUACUUUGUCGGACUACCUUGUCCGCGUAUGUCACGGAAGCCGAGGAGGAGGAUGCCGAGAGACGACUGUUACAGGAAGGAAGGACUUCUUUAUGGUGGUGGUGAACCUCGGUAACCUCGAAGAGACCCGGCGGGCUUAUUCACAAACGUUUCGCAUUGCAUCCGGACGCUGCCAGCAUAAUAAGAUAUAGGUCAAGUGCGGCUGGUGCCAUGUAUGGCCAUACCUGUGCCGAGGAAGGACAAAGAUAUACGCAGGUUGUCGUUGCCGAGGUUAUCGAAAGGGUUCACUCCGCAUCUUCGCCUAUUUCGUAUGUGACACCACCUCGUCGUACGAGAUACUCGAUCACGUCUAGGAUUAAUUGAACGAAAGUGAUUAAGAAAGUAAAAGCGUAAAUCGAUUGUAAUUUAUACGUAUCUUUGAUUAAUGGAUGAAUCAUGUUGGAAUGUAAUUAAUAGUUCUUCGAACUAUGGAUCAAAUGGAUGAUCGUUGCAAGUAUAUAUAAUUUUUUUCUUAUGUUUCACUGAAUGGUUUAACAUUCUUCUUCGAUCAUUUCAAUUAUAAAUUAGAAAUAAUGAUAAUAAGAAAAUAUUAUCAUUUAUAUAUAUUUAAAUUAAAACGUAAUCUAAACGUUUGUCUUUUCGAAAAAUUGAAUUAAGAUUUACGUAAAAGUAUUUAGAGCUGUAACCCUCCGUGUAACCCUGUUAGGUAUGGCUUCUUUUAUUACGUAAGUUGUCGGUCCAAACCUUUCAGGACCGUAGUUUAUUUAUGCAACGAUUUCUUUGAAAUCGUUAUUCACCAGUUUAUAUUUGAUGAUAAUUACGCUCUUUUGCGUAAUUAUAAGAAAAAUACGCGUGUAAAAUUAUAUUACCCAAUUGUGUUUCACGUUUUAUUAUCGGCGAUAAUAUAUCUUCUUAAAUAUAUUCUUA